rnacentral:rRNA from 1 species
ACGAACGCUGGCGGCGUGCUUAACACAUGCCAGUCGAACGGAAAGGCCUGCCUUCCCUUGUGGAUUGCGGGUGCUCGAGUGGCGAACGGGUGAGUAACACGUGAGUGAUCUGCCCCCAACUUGGGUAUAAGCCUGGGAAACUGGGUCUAAUUCCCGAUAGGACUGCAGGGUGGUGCCUGUGGUGGAAAACGAUUUUCUAGUGGUUGGGGAUGAGCUCGCGGCCUAUCAGCUUGUUGGUGGGGUAAUGGCCUACCAAGGCGGCGACGGGUAGCCGGCCUGAGAGGGUGGACGGCCACAUUGGGACUGAGAUACGGCCCAGACUCCUACGGGAGGCAGCAGUGGGGAAUAUUGCACAAUGGGCGGAAGCCUGAUGCAGCGACGCCGCGUGGGGGAUGACGGCCUUCGGGUUGUAAACUCCUUUCGACCGCGAGGAAGCCACCUGGUUGGAAGGGUGGUGACGGUAGUGGUAGAAGAAGCACCGGCUAACUACGUG